UGUGUAGGCGGUCUGUUAAGUCUGAUGUGAAAGCCCCGGGCUCAACCCGGGAAGUGCAUUGGAUACUGGCAGACUUGAGUACGGGAGAGGGAAGUGGAAUUCCGAGUGUAGGAGUGAAAUCCGUAGAUAUUCGGAGGAACACCGGUGGCGAAGGCGGCUUCCUGGACCGAUACUGACGCUGAGACGCGAAAGCGUGGGGAGCAAACAGGAUUAGAUACCCUGGUAGUCC
rnacentral:rRNA from 1 species